ACCAAAAUCAGUCUUUGGUACCCAAAAUGUCAGUUGGAGAAACAAGCACUUCUGAGAAUACCCCGUGAAAAAACAGUCUGCAAACCUGAGAGGAUUGGGCUGUGUGUGUGCAGACUUCACCAAGGCACUCUUCUGAAACUUGAAUGAGAAGAGACUCUGGGCUUUAUCUGUGAGACAUCCUAUGGCUGAGAGGAAACAAGGCAAAUUUGCUAGAUUUGAUAUAGAACAUUCAAAGCAUGAGGUCAUCUAAGGGAAUGAAGACACUGUAAGUUUACUGCUCUUUAUUUGAGAAUGAUAUCUUCAAGGUCAACCUUGCAUUAUGUGUCUUCCCCUAGUCCUACUCUUCCCUGCUCACAAGCUCAUCCCUGUGAGGGACAGAACAUUAAAGACAGACACUUGCUUGGAAAGACUAAGAGUCUGAUCCAAAACUAUAAGCAAAAGACCUCAUGCAUAGUAAGUGCCUGAUAAUAAUCUAAGGAAGGAAAACACAGGGAAGGUCAUUUAUCACAUUUAUUAAAUUCAAAAUGCAACAAAACUGCCUAUCAAAAGUGAAGAUAAUUAAAAGUAUCUACAAGAACUAAAUGUCUGCUAGUUAGAGUUUAGCCUCAGAUGCAAAAUAAUCAGCCUUCUCUUGCCGUUAUGAAAAUUCCAUAAGCUAAAAGAACUACCUUCCCCAGUCCAGAUGUGGCUCUUUCUAUCAAACAACACCCAAGCAGCAGGAGAACAUGAUUUGAGACAAAGUCCCCACCUGAUGCUCCAGUAGAACUUGGAAUGAAUGGACUCAGGGCAUUGAAUAUGGGGGGAGGGGGUAUUUGUGACCACUGCAUAAGCUGACUUUUCACUGGAUGAUUCUGAACAGACCCCAAGAAUUCGAUUGGGUGAGUGUGCUAUAAUCAGAUGCCAAGGCAUAAAGUUCACACAUGAUGGAUUAAGUCAAGGUCAAUGCCAGCUUCACUGGGUGUGUUAUGCAUCUUGCAACAUGAAUGGAUUUAUGCUUCGGAGUUUGACAGCUGUGGCGCCAGAAGAUAAACAAAGUUACAAGAUCAUUCAUGAAAGUUCAACUUGCUGGAAAAACUGGAGAGCACAUGGCUGGCCAAGACCUUUCAAGAUCAGGCAGGUACAAACAAGGCUUUGUCUUGGAUAUUACGGGAGGCCCCUCCAAAACAGCAGCAGUCAACACCAAUCACAGUAGCAGCUCCUGCCAACCAACUCUGUGGCCGCAUGCUUGGUUUUCAGGUGCCCUUGGGCCCUGUUCAUCAGCAAGCAUCACACCUUCCUGAGCAAAAGACUCUGGGGAGGAAGGUGAAGACCUACUAUCCAGACACCACUCAGGAGAGGAGAGUGUGGGCCAUGAACUAGCCUGAGAAAUAUGUUAGCUAUCCUGUGUAUGCCUUGUCCAGUCACCUGCCAUCUGCCACUGGGGACCUCUUGACUGCUCUGAUGCUGAAUUCCCUUAACUGUCCAU
rnacentral:lncRNA from 1 species